rnacentral:rRNA from 1 species
GAUGAACGCUAGCGGCAGGCCUAACACAUGCAAGUCGAGGGAGAAGCCCUUCGGGGCAGAAACCGGCGCACGGGUGCGUAACGCGUAUGCAACCUACCUUUCACAGGGGGAUAGCCCGAAGAAAUUUGGAUUAAUACCCCAUAAUAUUAUUGGAUGGCAUCAUUUGAUAAUUAAAACUGAGGUGGUGAAAGAUGGGCAUGCGUCCUAUUAGCUAGUUGGAGUGGUAACGGCACCCCAAGGCUACGAUAGGUAGGGGUCCUGAGAGGGAGAUCCCCCACACUGGUACUGAGACAGGGACCAGACUCCUACGGGAGGCAGCAGUGAGGAAUAUUGGUCAAUGGUCGGAAGACUGAACCAGCCAUGCCGCGUGCAGGAAGAAUGCCUUAUGGGUUGUAAACUGCUUUUAUAUGGGAAGAAUAAGGAGUACGUGUACU